rnacentral:miRNA from 1 species
UCAGAGCUGUUAUCAGCAAUGACUGCAUCCUAUUCUGUGUGUGUGUGUGUGUGUGUGUGUGUGUGCGCACACACAUACACACACACAUACACACAGCAUGGAAGGAA